rnacentral:rRNA from 1 species
AAUCAACGCUGGCGGCGCGCUUAACACAUGCAAGUCGCACGAGAAAGGGAGCAGUCCUGAGUAACGUGGCGUACGGGUGAGUAACACGUGGGAAUCUACCUCUUGGCGGGGAAUAACCCUGGGAAACCGGGGCUAAUACCGCAUAAGCUCGUGAGAGGAAAGCAGCAAUGCACCGAGAGAGGAGCCCGCGGCCGAUUAGCUAGUUGGUGGGGUAAUGGCUCACCAAGGCGAAGAUCGGUAGCCGGCCUGAGAGGGCACACGGCCACACUGGCACUGAAACACGGGCCAGACUCCUACGGGAGGCAGCAGUGGGGAAUCUUGCACAAUGGGGGAAACCCUGAUGCAGCGACGCCGCGUGAGCGAUGAAGCCCUUCGGGGUGUAAAGCUCUUUCGACAGGAACGAUAAUGACGGUACCUGGAGAAGAAGCUGCGGCUAACUACGUG